UACGUAGGGGGCAAGCGUUGUCCGGAUUUAUUGGGCGUAAAGAGCGUGUAGGCGGUUUGGUAGGUCCGUUGUGAAAACUCGAGGCUCAACCUCGAGACGCCGAUGGAAACCAUCAGACUAGAGUCCGGAAGAGGAGAGUGGAAUUCCUGGUGUAGCGGUGAAUGCGCAGAUAUCAGGAAGAACACCCGUGGCUAAGGCGGCUCUCUAGUACGGUACUGACGCUGAGACGCGAAAGCGUGGGAGCGAACAGG
rnacentral:rRNA from 1 species